GGGCCCGCACAAGCGGUGGAGCAUGUGGUUUAAUUCGACGCAACGCGAAGAACCUUACCAGGGCUUGACAUCCACAGAAUACUUAGGAAACUAGGUAGUGCCCUUCGGGGAGCUGUGAGACAGGUGGUGCAUGGUUGUCGUCAGCUCGUGUCGUGAGAUGUUGGGUUAAGUCCCGCAACGAGCGCAACCCCUAUCUUUAGUUGCUAACAGGUAGUGCUGAGCACUCUAGAGAGACUGCCGGUGACAAACCGGAGGAAGGUGGGGAUGACGUCAAAUCAUCAUGCCCCUUAUGUCCUGGGCUACACACGUGCUACAAUGGCCGGUACAGACGGUUGCGAAGCUGUGAAGUGGAGCUAAUCCGAGAAAGCCGGUCUCAGUUCGGAUUGUAGGCUGCAACUCGCCUACAUGAAGUCGGAAUCGCUAGUAAUCGCAGGUCAGCAUACUGCGGUGAAUACGUUCCCGGGCCUU
rnacentral:rRNA from 1 species